ensembl:snRNA U1 U1 spliceosomal RNA
AUACUUACCUGGCAGGGGAGUUAACAUGAUCAUGAAGGUGGUUUUACCAGGGUGAGGCUUAUCCAUUGCAUUCCAGAUAUGCUGACCCCUGCUAUUACCCAAAUGUGGGAAACUCGACUGCUUAAUUUUGGUAGUGGGGGACUGCAUUCGUGCUCUCCCAGA